GAUGAACGCUGGCGGCGUGCCUAAUACAUGCAAGUCGAGCGAACGGACGAGAAGCUUGCGGCUCUGAUGUUAGCGGCGGGCGGGAGAGUAACACGUGGAUAACGUACCUAUAAGACGGGGAUAAUUUCGGGAAACGGGAGCAAAUACCGGAGGAGAUUUUGAAGCGCAGGGGGCAAAAGAGAAAGACGGUGUUGCGGGAAGGAAUAGAGGGAUACGGGCUGGAUUAGCGAGUUGGUAAGGUAACGGCCUACCAAGGGAAGGAGGCAUAGCCGACCUGAGAGGGUGAUCGCCCACCCUGGAACUUAGCCACCCUCCUGACUCCUACGGGACGCACCAGUCGCCAAUCUUCCGCAAUGGGCGGAAGCCUUACGCAGCAACGCCGCGUCAGUGAUGACGGUCUUCGGUUCGUAAUACUCUGUUAUUAGUGAAGAACAUAUGUGUCAGUAACUGUGCCCAUCUUGACGGUACCUAAUCAGAAAGCCACGGCUAACUACGUG
rnacentral:rRNA from 1 species